rnacentral:other from 1 species
UGCGAACUGCCGUGUUGGUGACUGCCUUUCACAGUUUUCUGAUCUGACUCCUUUUCGACAUGGGGAGUCUGCGGCGACGGCAACGUAAACCGGCCUUGAGCUGGAAACGAAACCCCGCCUUUGACACCCCUUCUGGUUCAUCCAGGUCGAACACUGGGGCAAGACGGCACAGCGGUUCACCC